GGGGAGGGAAGGAGGAGGUGGAGAUCCGCGUAGUAAGAGUGUCUGUUACGACGUGGAAGCAGGUAUGCAAUAAAUAAUUAACAUAUAUAUAUAUUGGAAACGAUAACGGCGUAAUCGUCGUCCAAAGUCAGUGUUGGGGCCGCCGUAUUAAGAAGCGUGGGCCACCGCGUCCGGUGCCGUGCAGGUAAACGUACCGAGCGAGAGGGAGCUCCUUGGAUAUUCGCUUUUUGUUUUGGCUGAAUAAUGGAUUCUGAUUUCGGUGGUGCCUUAUCUUAUUUUUCUCAUUUCUUACAGUUCAAGAAGCAAUCAGUGAGGGAGAACAAUGCUUUUUUGUUUUCG
rnacentral:misc_RNA from 1 species